CUGUACAUUUUUUAAUGGGAGUGUGUGUGUGUCACAGAUGGGUGUUUAAUGUUCACAGCUGUUGGGACAGACUGGUGUGGGGUUUAUAUGUGGAGUUUUAACUGUUUUGGGAAAUAAGACAUGACUUGGCCUUGACAGACUCUGCAGGGGCAGAAUUUUCUCAAUUUCUUCUCAGAAAGGAUUUGAAGUUGAUAAUACUCAUGGAAUUAACUCCAAUAAAACAAAAUACCGUUACAAAAUAAAUAAGUUUGUUGGAAUUAAUAGGCAGACAGACUAGAUGACUAGAUUGUGUCCUGUCUGUAAUGAUGACCCAGAGUCCUUGCUAACUGUUGCUAAAGUGUUGUGCGUGUGUAUUGCUGUCUGCUGGUGGUCAGUGGGAGUAAACUGUUGUGUGCUGUGAGGGAGGCUAACUCAUGUUCUAUGAUGUUUAUUGUUCAACACAAUGAUAAUAAUAAUAAACUCCAUUCCAUAAGCAUUUGCUCAAAUACAAUAAAGCACUUGGUCUGCUAAACUAAAGUCUGCUUAGAAUACUGUGCUUUUCCAUUAUUGUCACCAUCUGACUGUCUUUUGGGCUUUAUUAAUUCAUGUGUCCUGUAUUUUUCAAGGUAGUGCCAUUGAGAAGCGUAUUUUUUUCGGGAGGAAGACUUAAGGCGGCUACACAUACAGGACACCACUAAAACUACAUGCUACUUAAAGGAGAUUCAAAAUGGAAUCACAAAUGAUAUACAAACUCUUCCAACUGUGACACAGGCAUAUUAUAUUACACAAGCUUGUCCCUGCAUACGGUUUGCCCGGUUUUUGACGAAAAAUAUUGCAUCCUUUAGACUUUAGGGUGGUGUUUAAAAGGUAUAUUAUUUAAAAUUAUUACCGAUAUUUAUCUGCAUCUUCGUCUAUGAAAGGUGGGCUUUUAUUUAACUGAAGAGUCAUCUUUUCGUGUAAGUUAAACAUUCUGUCUGAAAUGGGUGUUAAAUUCCAUCAGAUGCGGCAUAAAUAUCAGGAUCAGAUACAGGGACAUGCAAAAACGAAAUAUACGUGCUAAUGUUCACAAAAUAGUUCGUUUUGAUUUGUAUUUAUUUAUUUAGGAAUUAAGUAUAAUUUAUUCCUUUUUUGUCAAAAGUGUUCUUGGCUAAUUCUUCAAAAUAAAUCAAGGCUCAUACAGUUUUGCUCAUUUGCUACGGUAAGUGAAUAGCCCCCAAAAGAAAAGAGAACUCAUAUCUCCAGUUAGUCAUUGGUCUAGGUAGGCUGGAUCUGAGUAAAUUCAUUUAAUUUAGCUAAUUGAAUUGAUUGUGACUUGUGUUGAGCCCAAAUCCUGCAUCACACACGUUUAAUCCAGCGUCCAUACGCAGGUAAACUGUCCCGGUGGUUGAGUCAACCCCAGAGCAGCGGAGGGAACCGGAGUUGAAAGUCUGAUGUGAGAGAGAACGCUGUGUCAAUUAACACCAGUAACACGCUAUUCAGAUAGCCAGCAAUUAGAGGUGUGUGUGUGUGUGAUGUGAGAUGUGUGUGUGUAUAUAUAUAUAUAUAUACACACACACAUACACUGGCUAUCAUACACUCUAAGAAAAAGGUUUACAAAUUGGUUAUCCGGCUGUCCCUAUAGGAGAACCCCUUUGGUUCCAGGUAGAACCCUUUUUGAUUCCACGUAGAACCUUCUGUAAAAAAAAUAAUAAUAAUAGUAAAAAGCUUAUUCACAGGGUGGGGAUAGCCGAAGAACCCAUUUGGCUUCUUGAUAGACUGUUUUUGUAAUUGUGACCCCCUUUAGAAAGCCUGUGUGUAGGCUACUUUUUACAACAAC
rnacentral:lncRNA from 13 species